UGGGGAAUAUUGCACAAUGGGCGCAAGCCUGAUGCAGCCAUGCCGCGUGUGUGAAGAAGGCCUUCGGGUUGUAAAGCACUUUCAGCGGGGAGGAAGGCGAUAAGGUUAAUAACCUUGUCGAUUGACGUUACCCGCAGAAGAAGCACCCGCUAACUCCGUGCCAGCAGCCGCGGUAAUACGGAGGGUGCAAGCGUUAAUCGGAAUUACUGGGCGUAAAGCGCACGCAGGCGGUCUGUCAAGUCGGAUGUGAAAUCCCCGGGCUCAACCUGGGAACUGCAUUCGAAACUGGCAGGCUAGAGUCUUGUAGAGGGGGGUAGAAUUCCAGGUGUAGCGGUGAAAUGCGUAGAGAUCUGGAGGAAUACCGGUGGCGAAGGCGGCCCCCUGGACAAAGACUGACGCUCAGGUGCGAAAGCGUGGGGAGCAAACAGG
rnacentral:rRNA from 1 species